rnacentral:rRNA from 1 species
CGCGUAGGCGGCUUGGCAAGUCAGAUGUGAAAUCCCCGAGCUUAACUCGGGAAUUGCAUCUGAAACUGCUUUGCUUGAGUCCUGGAGGGGGUAGUGGAAUUCCCAGUGUAGCGGUGAAAUGCGUAGAUAUUGGGAGGAACACCGGCGGCGAAGGCAGCUACCUGGACAGUGACUGACGCUGAGGCGCGAAAGCUAGGGGAGCGAACGGGAUUAGAUACCCCGGUAGUCCUAGCCGUAAACGAUGGGCACUUGGUGUUGGGGGUAUUGAGUCCCCCGGUGCCGGAGUUAACACGUUAAGUGCCCCGCCUGGGGAGUACGGUCGCAAGACUGAA